GUCUCCUCUAACACUAAUAAAAGUUUAUAAGAAAAACCACUCUUAUUAAAUGAAAAAAGAAGAUGUAGGUAUUCUUCUUCGUGCUCGUCUCUCUAGAGAAAAUUAUCCCACUCAAUUUCCUCUCUGUUCAAAUCUCUUGAUUCUAACUGCUCAAAUCACAAAUUGUGACCCAUCUGAUAGAAACACAAAAGCCCUAAUCAGAAAUCGUGACUUCAUCAUGAACUUUGUAUCUAAGUUGUUACUGUUACUGAUGGAGAGAGAAUAUUAGGACUUGGUAAUCUUGGCUAUCAGAUUUUGGUAUUGGUCUCAACUGAUCGAGAGGCGUAGCAGCUUGGACUAGUUCAUCGGAGACUCAUGGUAGAUCUGUUGGUGUUCGCAGAUCUUGAAGUCCCCGUCUAUCUUUUCAGUUUGUUUUGCUGUUUCUUUCAUUUAAACAGUUGUAUUUCUUUUACACUUUUACUUGUAGUAAAUCCUAGAAGUUCGUUAAUUGUGACUCCAGAUCCGA